UAGGGAAUCUUCGGCAAUGGACGGAAGCCUGGACCGAGCAACGCCACGUGAGUGAAGAAGGUUUUCGGAUCGUAAAGCUCUGUUGUAAGAGAAGAACGAGUGUGAGAGUGGAAAGUUCACACUGUGACGGUAUCUUACCAGAAAGGGACGGCUAACUACGUGCCAGCAGCCGCGGUAAUACGUAGGUCCCGAGCGUUGUCCGGAUUUAUUGGGCGUAAAGCGAGCGCAGGCGGUUAGAUAAGUCUGAAGUUAAAGGCUGUGGCUUAACCAUAGUACGCUUUGGAAACUGUUUAACUUGAGUGCAAGAGGGGAGAGUGGAAUUCCAUGUGUAGCGGUGAAAUGCGUAGAUAUAUGGAGGAACACCGGUGGCGAAAGCGGCUCUCUGGCUUGUAACUGACGCUGAGGCUCGAAAGCGUGGGGAGCAAACAGGAUUAGAUACCCUGGUAGUCCACGCCGUAAACGAUGAGUGCUAGGUGUUAGACCCUUUCCGGGGUUUAGUGCCGCAGCUAACGCAUUAAGCACUCCGCCUGGGGAGUACGACCGCAAGGUUG
rnacentral:rRNA from 1 species